CACUGUACCCCAGGGCCCAGGAGCAUUUCCAGUAGAAUAAUGUGUGUGUGGGGGGCAGGGGUAGGUGGGGGGAUGAGUGUAGAUUGCCUUGCCUGCCUGCAGGGAAGCCAAGGCCUCAGGCUGUAGAGCCAGGCAGCUGCUGGUCCUAGCUGCACCACUUACCAGCUGUGUCCUCUGGGGCCAGUGUCCUCAUCUCUCUGAACCUCUUUCGUCAACUGUACAGUGGAGCUCAUAACAGCGCCUUCCUCACAAGGUUGCUCUGAGGAGUGAAGGAAUGAAUGCAGGUGCAGGGCUUAGAAGAGAGCUUAGCACACCGUAGGUGCUCAGUUGGCAGAAUGUAUGUGAACUCCCUGAGGGCAGGUACCUUUUGAAAGCAUCAAAUGAUGCAAAGUGCAGUGCCGGGCAUGUAGAAGAAUUUAACAGAAGUCAGCUAUGCAUCUUGUUGAGCCCAGUCUGGGGAAUAAGAUAGCAAUCCAUUUGAGCUAUAUCAUUUUGAGUCUAAACUGAGACAUGACUACAAUGAGACAAAUUUUCUUUUACAGCUCAUAAACGAGCUCUCGAGGCAGUUUUGUUAGGCUCCAAAAAAGGCUUUCACGAGGUCAAUGCCGGUGGCAUAAGUACCUGCUGGGCUUCCCAGGACAGCAGCUGACAGCACAGGCUUGGCAGGUAGGAGGCGUCCUUGGGCUUCACUCUCAUGCAUGAUGUCACCUUCCAGCGACACAUGGAAGUGGAUAUACCCCUCCCUAGUGCUGCAUCCUCAUAAACUCUCUAGUUACUCCAGAGAUAGAGUUUCUACAACAUGCAGGAUCUGUUGCACGCCGUUCCAUGCAUUGUCAAAAGCGCUCCCUUCCACUGAUCUGCCAGAUGAUGGUGCCCUGGGCAGUGACCUGACCCUUUGAACAGGUGAAAAGAUCAUCUCAGGAAAUCAAUAGAGAUGCUUACUGCUGUUGCUCAUCCCUGAAAAUCUUUAAGGUUCUCCAUGUUAACAUAUGUACUUUUAACUCAGCCCUUGUUCUGAAAAAGGAGCUGCGCUUUGCCAGGUAACUCGAUGCCCUCUUCACCCAAGGGUCAAGGCUCAGAGCUGACGAGCUCUGGCAGCUCUGUCAGAGGUCGUGCCCUUCCCCUGCAUGAAGGCUUUCAUGAAUGGCAUUGCGCACACCCCUGGGAGGAAAAUGCCCCCCUAAGAUGCUGCUCUUGGCAUCCCAUAGGGGCCUGCGCCAGCUUCAGAUCGACCACUCUCCAGAGCAGAUGCUGGGACAGGCAGGGCAGAUGGUCUCGCCAUGCCGUCUUAGCUCCCAUCACCUUGUCACAGAGGGACUCGAGAUCAGAGGGGUCCAGAGUUCUCUUUUCCUGUCUUUUCCUCUUGUGUUGCUUCUUUCCUAGGUAGAUAGAUAGAUGGCUGAUGAUAGACAGGAUGGAUGGAUGGGUGGUGGAUAGAGAGGUAGAGAAAUGCCAUGAAGUGCAAAGUAAUAAGUAGCUGAAAUUCUGUCAUUUUUUUCUUUCCCAAUACUUUGUAAACAGUAAAAAGAAUGGGUAGGCCAUCAGUAAACAGCUAUUAUGUGUACUGUCAUUAUCACGUUCAAUAUUGUAUGCUUGCUAUUAUUCUUCUUUCUCUCACCUUCGAGUAAACAUUAACUGAACAUCUAAUAUGUGCCAAGCACCCUGGACAGCCAGACUCCCAUCCAACCUUCCACAUCACCUCAGGUCACCAUCUUGCAGGUACCCCCAGGUCUGAUCUCACUGAAUUACUCACCAACUCUCCAUUCUCCCAGAACUCAAUACCCUACUCCCUCUUCCUAAAGCAGCCUUUCAUUUCCUGCACCUGGCAAAGAUUAUUCAACCCUAAGGACCUCUAGCAAAUGUCACCUCCUCUCUGAAGCCCACCCCGAUAGGCUUCCCUUCUUUUAGUACCUAUUGUAUCCUGAUUAUUGGUUCAUAUGUGUGAUUAUCUGCAUACACCAUAAGCUUCCCUUUAAUCAUCUUGUACUUUCUUUUUUUAUAUAUAUAUUUUUAUUAUACUUUAAGUUCUAGGGUACAUGUGCACAACAUGCAGGUUUGUUACAUAUGUAUACAUGUGUCAUGUUGGUGUGCUGCACCCAUUAACUCUUCAUUUACAUUAGGUAUAUCUCCUAAUGCUAUCCCUCCCCACUCCUGCCAUCCCACAACAGGCCCCGGUGUGUAAUGUUCCCCUUCCUGUGUCCAAGUGUUCUCAUUGUUCAAUUCCCACCUAUGAGUGAGAACAUGCAGUGUUUGGUUUUUUA
rnacentral:lncRNA from 1 species